UUACUGGUGUGUUCUGUUGCUAAUGCUGUUUAUUCAAGAUAGCAGUGUUUGGAUCCUGAACACCAGUGAGAGUGAGAAUUAAAAACUCUGAAUCUCGACAGGAGGUCAGAGGGCUGGCGGAGGUUGCCGAGCUGGGUACAGGAAUUUGCUGAUCCUUCAAUUACUCACCAUGGAUGUAGCAAGAACUACUGGGGAUUAUUUAGUGUUGCAUCGUCUUGUCCAUGUGAAAAAAAACAACAACAACAACAACAACAAAAAUAAAAGUAAAACAGAUGUAUUACUCAUGAAGUGGAGAGCUGUGCACGAGACCAGACAAGACCUGACACGGCUAGUUUAAAGUCACACCGGUUCAAAGAUACAGAUUUAGACUCGGCUGCUACUGAGGUGAAGAAGAAAUAAGAAAUAUAAUCUCUCUGAAUAGAUAUGUAAAUAUCAUAUUCUUUACCUGUCUGUAACUAUAAGCUUCCAUUCAGGCUAAUCACUUUCAAUCUUGUCUGUGGGUAAAUAGUGUAAUAUAACACAGACAUAUUAUUUUACACCUUAAUUGCACUGAUGUAUAGCCUUUUGCAAUUAACUUUGCAGUUUAUAGGAGCCCCAGUCAUUUCUUAAAAAGAAAUAAGACAAUAAUAGUUUAUAUAUAAAAAAAUGACCCUUAUUAUUCAUCCAUUUAUUCAUUUUCUGAACCAAUUAUCCUACACAAGGUCAUGCGAAACCUGGAGACUAUUCCAAGGGAUUACAAGACAGAGGACACCCUGGACAGAGUGCUAAUCCAUCUGAAAGUACAAAUGUGCACACACUCGCACCCAUUUACACACUAUGGGCAAUUUAAAGUUGCCCAUUGGUCUACAACACAUGAUGUUGGGCUUGGGAGAGACCAGAGAACCUGGAGGAAACCACUGUAGCAUAGAGGAACAUGUAAGCUUCACAAACACAAAGCAGAGGCAGGAAACGACAAACAACCCCCAACCCUGACAAACACGUUAACCAUUAAACUGCCAUGCCAUAGCAUCAUCAUCAUUAUUAUUAUUAUUAUUAUUAUUAUUAUUAUUAUUAUAGAACAUUCACACCAGCCCGUAUACUACCCUUAUAUACUGAACAAUAUAUAUACAGUAUAUAUGAAUAUUUGUUGAGAACUGAAGCCAGUUUUCAGAAGCGCACUCAUACUUUUAUUCUCUGCAGCAGCAAACGCAACUUAGAUCGAGCUUUUAGCCAUAUGGCCAUACUGAUUGGGAUCUACAUUUGUUGGCAAAGGACUAUGAUUGCGCAUUCAAAUGCACAAAGCUGCCAUAAAGAGCACACCUAGUUUACCAUUUUAAACCUGCAGCAUACAAUUAAUGAGCUUUAUGAGCUUCCACUACAAAUCUCUAUA